AUACGAAGGGAGCUAGCGUUGUUGGGAAUUACUGGGCGUAAAGCGCACGUAGGCGGACUUGUUAGUCAGGGGUGAAAUCCCGGGGCCCAACCUCGGAACUGCCUUUGAUACUGCAAGUCUGGAGUCCGGAAGAGGUGGGUGGAAUUCCUAGUGUAGAGGUGAAAUUCGUAGAUAUUAGGAAGAACACCGGUGGCGAAGGCGGCCCACUGGUCCGGUACUGACGCUGAGGUGCGAAAGCGUGGGGAGCAAACAGGAUUAGAAACCCCUGUAGUCC
rnacentral:rRNA from 1 species